rnacentral:misc_RNA from 25 species
AACUAACGCUAUAUAAGUAUCAGUUUCUGUACUUUAUUG